rnacentral:rRNA from 1 species
AUACGGAGGAUCCGAGCGUUAUCCGGAUUUAUUGGGUUUAAAGGGUGCGCAGGCGGCCAUUUAAGUCAACGGUUAAAUCGUGGGGCUCAACCCCAUUCUGCCGUUGAUACUGGGUGGCUUGAUUGCGGUCGAGGUUGGCGGAAUUCGUUGUGUAGCGGUGAAAUGCAUAGAUAUGACGAAGAACACCGAUUGCGUAGGCAGCUGACCAGACCGCAAAUGACGCUCAUGCACGAAAGUGCGGGGAUCGAACAGGAUUAGAUACCCUGGUAGUCCGCACAGUAAACGAUGAAUACUUGUUUUCGGCGAUAUAAUGUCGGAGGCAAAGCGAAAGCGAUAAGUAUUCCACCUGGGGAGUACGCCGGCAACGGUGAAACUCAAAUGAAUUGGCGGGG